rnacentral:lncRNA from 1 species
GGAGAAGUAAAAAAUUAAAAUUUAAAGGACAUGUAGAUUCUGGCUUUGCGGGAGAUAAAGAUUAGAGGAAAUUUACCACUUCAUACUUCUUGACUUUAGGUGAUAAUUGUAUCACUUGAAAAUCACAGUUGCAAUUUAUAGUUACACUCUCCAGCACUGAAAUAAUAUAUGUUGCAUUAACUGAAACUGUGAAGGAAUGCAUGUAGUUGAAAGGCCUUCUGUGUGAAUUAAACUUCUUGAAUGAUAAUACCAUGAUUUUUACUGAUUGUUAAAGUUCGUUGAUAUUGUGUAAAAAUCAUGUUUAACAUGAACGUUCUAAACAUAUUGAGAUGGAGUAUCACUUUAUUAGAGAGAAUUUAGCUUUUGGUGAUUUUAUUUUGCUUAAAAUUGCAAUUGAUGGUAACUCUGCAGAUGUUGAAACAAAUGUACUUGCGGUUGGUAAGUUCAACAAAUGUUUAUCAAUACUGAGUAUUGAUAAUGGUUAAUUGUUGUACAUGUACUGAGCUGGAGUGAGCGAAGAUGAUAAAAAUAAGACCACUAAUGGAUAUCACUUGUAACCGGGGAAUUUGGCGAUGGAUGAUAUGUGAUCCAAGGUGAAGAUUUGUGAAGUGGAUCACACCAUCCACAAGCUACAAAUUAAUUGGUCUAGAGAUAUUGAAGUGAAUUGUGCUAGUUUAGAAAUAAUAUAGACCAUAGAUUAAAUCCAACUUAUGGUCAAUUAUCAUGUGCUAGUGUUGCCACUUUCUAUUAGACUAUAGUACAAUAUUUAAAUUUUGAAUUCAAACGGAUUUUGCUCUAUAAUUACAAGAUUUCUUUACUUCUUGCAUUUGGACUUGGCAUAACAAUAGAGAGAAAACAUAGAGAGGUAACCAAGUGGGAGCAUUUCAUAUCUCCAGCGAAAUUUUUGGUGGCUUUCGGCGGAUCUUAUCUCGAUAUAUUCAUUGUCAUUUCCGUGGACGACAGUGUAUGGCACAAAUUCGAG